rnacentral:rRNA from 1 species
UGUGAAGAAGGCCUUCGGGUUGUAAAGCACUUUUGUCCGGAAAGAAAACUUCUCCAGUUAAUACUGGGGGAGGAUGACGGUACCGGAAGAAUAACGCACCGGCUAACUACGUUC